GCUUAAUAUUUAAAAUUUAAAAGUAAAAUUAAAAGAAUCAACUUUAAUAAAGUUUUUAUAACUGAGAAGGUUAAUUAAAGCAAAAAAAAGUAUGAAAAGUACUUUUUGCAUCAUGGUUUAUUGAAAUUAUUAUAUAAAAUAUAACUCCCGAAUUGAAAGGAUAUAUUAUACAUUUGUUAAUCUUUGUUUAAUAAAAGUUAAUAAGAUUAUAAUAGAAAUUAAAAGUUAAACGUCUUUCAAUAUAUCUGGUUCUUCCGUUAUUAGGUUUAAUCAUUAUCAAGAGCAGUAAUUCGUCAUUCUCUUGAUUUAUACAAGGGGCGAUAAGGUCCCUUCCUAACUAUAAACAAAAAUUUGAUCUCAUGGAUUAUCAAUCAGAUUUUUUUUCUAUUUAGGUUUCAAACGGUAGAGGGAAAAGAAACACGACUAUUCCCCUAUAAUAAUAAAAUGAGUAGGGUAAACAUUUACAAUUAAGGAACUCGGCAAAAAUUCUUCUGUCUGUUUAACAAAAACAUAGCUUGUGGUUAUAAUUACAAGUAUCGUCUGCCCACUGAAAUUUUAAAGGGCCGCAGUAUUAUGACUGUGCAAAGGUAGCGUAAUAAAUCGUACUUUGAUUGGGUAUCUGGAUGAACGAUAUGACAAGAUGAACACUGUCUCGAUUGUAUAAUCUUAAAUUAAAUUUUGAGUGAAAAUUCUCAAAUGAAAGUGGGGGACGAGAAGACCCUAUAGAUCUUAAUUUCCUUUAUAUAAAGUAUUUAUAUGACGGGAAUUUCGCUGGGGAAGCGGGUAAAUUUUUAAAUUUUACCUUAUAAUACCUGUAUAUAAGAAGAAAUGGUCUUCAAUUUGAAAUUAUAAGCUAAGUUACCUUAGGGAUAACAGCACGAUAUUGAUUAGAAGAACUUAUUUUAAUUAAUGAUUGUGACCUCGAUGUUGAAUUAAGAUUACCUAUAUGAGCAAAAGCAUAAAAGGUUAGUCUGUUCGACUAUUAAAAUCUUACAUGAUUUGAGUUCAGACCGACGUAAGUCAGGUCAGUUUCUAUCUUCACUAUAAAGAGCUUUGUUAGUACGAAAGGAAUACAUGGUGUCUAUAUUAAUUUAGAUUAAAUUAAUCAAGGGUCCUUAAUCUGCCCUU
rnacentral:rRNA from 1 species